rnacentral:rRNA from 1 species
AUUGAACGCUGGCGGCAUGCCUUACACAUGCAAGUCGAACGGCAGCACGGGUGCUUGCACCUGGUGGCGAGUGGCGAACGGGUGAGUAAUACAUCGGAACAUGUCCUGUAGUGGGGGAUAGCCCGGCGAAAGCCGGAUUAAUACCGCAUACGAUCCACGGAUGAAAGCGGGGGACCUUCGGGCCUCGCGCUAUAGGGUUGGCCGAUGGCUGAUUAGCUAGUUGGUGGGGUAAAGGCCUACCAAGGCGACGAUCAGUAGCUGGUCUGAGAGGACGACCAGCCACACUGGGACUGAGACACGGCCCAGACUCCUACGGUAGGCAGCAGUGGGGAAUUUUGGACAAUGGGCGAAAGCCUGAUCCAGCAAUGCCGCGUGUGUGAAGAAGGACUUCGGGUUGUAAAGCACUUUUGUCCGGAAAGAAAUCCUUGACUCUAAUACAGUCGGGGGAUGACGGUACCGGAAGAAUAAGCACCGGCUAACUACGUG